UGGGGAAUAUUGCACAAUGGGCGCAAGCCUGAUGCAGCCAUGCCGCGUGUGUGAAGAAGGCCUUCGGGUUGUAAAGCACUUUCAGCGGGGAGGAAGGCGAUAAGGUUAAUAACCUUGUCGAUUGACGUUACCCGCAGAAGAAGCACCGGCUAACUCCGUGCCAGCAGCCGCGGUAAUACGGAGGGUGCAAGCGGUAAUCGGAAUUACUGGGCGUAAAGCGCACGCAGGCGGUUUGUUAAGUCAGAUGUGAAAUCCCCGGGCUCAACCUGGGAACUGCAUCUGAUACUGGCAAGCUUGAGUCUCGUAGAGGGGGGUAGAAUUCCAGGUGUAGCGGUGAAAUGCGUAGAGAUCUGGAGGAAUACCGGUGGCGAAGGCGGCCCCCUGGACGAAGACUGACGCUCAGGUGCGAAAGCGUGGGGAGCAAACAGG
rnacentral:rRNA from 1 species